CCUACGGGAGGCAGCAGUGGGGAAUAUUGCACAAUGGGCGCAAGCCUGAUGCAGCGACGCCGCGUGGGGGAUGAAGGCCUUCGGGUUGUAAACUCCUUUCGCUAGGGACGAAGCCUUAUGGUGACGGUACCUGGAGAAGAAGCACCGGCUAACUACGUGCCAGCAGCCGCGGUAAUACGUAGGGUGCGAGCGUUGUCCGGAAUUACUGGGCGUAAAGAGCUCGUAGGUGGUUUGUCGCGUCGUCUGUGAAAUCCCGGGGCUUAACUUCGGGCGUGCAGGCGAUACGGGCAUAACUUGAGUGCUGUAGGGGAGACUGGAAUUCCUGGUGUAGCGGUGAAAUGCGCAGAUAUCAGGAGGAACACCAAUGGCGAAGGCAGGUCUCUGGGCAGUAACUGACGCUGAGGAGCGAAAGCAUGGGUAGCGAACAGGAUU
rnacentral:rRNA from 1 species